CUUUAUUUUGCUUUGUUUAUACACAUUAAGGUAGCAUUGGUGCCCCAAAGUAGUGCCACAUUUUAUUAAAGUUCCAUAAAAUUCACAGAGCAUGCGCAAAUCAAAGAGAGGAUAACACACCAAGGGAACCCAUUCCCGUGGUGAAAUAUAUUAAACAAGAUAAAUAUGUGAAUAUAAUAUAUUAUCGAAAAAUAUAAAUUAAAAAAUAUAUGUA